rnacentral:rRNA from 1 species
UUUCAAAGAUUAAGCCAUGCAUGUGUCAGUGCAAGCCUUUCCUAACGGUGAAACCGCGAACGGCUCAUUAAAUCAGUCAUAAUCCGUUGGACUAUAUGGAACCUUGUCCUUACUCGGAUAACUGUGGUAAUUCUAGAGCUAAUACAUGCCACGAGUUCCCAAAGUGUUUUUUUUAACAUUAGUAGGACGCAAUUAUUAGAUCCAAAAAUUUGAAUAAAACUUGGUGUAAAGUUUGGUGAUUCUGGAUAAUAGGAGCAGAGCGCUUAAUUUUCGCCGGCGCCAUACCUAUGAAGGGACUGCCCUAUCAGCUUGAUUGUAUAUUAAAUGUUUACAAUGGCUAUAACGGGUAACGGGGAAUCAGGGUUCGAUUCCGGAGAGGGAGCCUGAGAAACGGCUACCACAUCUAAGGAAGGCAGCAGGCACGCAAAUUGCUCAAUCUUAGCUCAAGGAAGCAGUGACAAAAUAUCUUGAUGCGGGACUCUUCCGAGGCCUCGCAAUCAGGAUGCGUUUACUUUAAAUAAGUAAGCUGAACGCAAUCUCGUAGUUGGACUUUAUGCUCAGGCAACCAGUCCCCGUUCUUUUAAGGGUUAAGAUGAGUCUGCAAUUAAGUUUGUGUCCGUUCAUCCUUCUUUUUUCAUUUCUCUUUUUUUUUUUCCCUUUCUGACCAGAGGAAGUUUAUAAAAUUAGUUUCAAUCGUAUCACUUUGAAUAAAUUAGAGUGCUCAAAGGCAAUGCAUAAUAAUUGCCUGUAUGGUAGUGCAUGGAAUGAUGGAAGAUGAUCUUUGCCUUGUUAAGUUUAAAAAGGAUAUAUAUUUUAUUUUUGCCCCAAGUAAAGAUUCGAGGUUUGAGAUAAUGAUUAAAGGGAACUGCCGGGGGCAUUUGUAUUACGGCGCUAGAGGUGAAAUUCUUGGACCGUCGUAAGACAAACUAUUGCGAAGGCAUUCGCCAAGAAUGUUUUCAUUAAUCAAGAACGAAAGUUAGAGUUUAGAAGGAGAUCAGAUACCUCCCUAUUUCUAACCGUAAACAAUGCUAACCGGUUGUCCGUCGGAAGUCAAUUCCGAUGGACGAGCGACCCCAGGGAAACCAGAGUUUCUGAGCUCCUGGGGAAGUAUGGUUGCAAUAUUGAAACUUAAAGGAAUUGACGGAAGGGCACCACCAGGAGUGGAGCCUGCGGCUUAAUUUGACUCAACACGGGAAAACUCACCAGGCCCAGAAACAUUUAGGAUUGACAGAUUGAAAGCUCUUUCAUGAUUAUGAGGAUGGUGGUGCAUGGCCGUCUUAGUUGGUGGAGCGAUCUGUCUGGUUAAUUCCGAUAACGAACGAGAUUCUUAUUUACUAACUAGAAGGUAGAUCUGAUUCCGAAAGUCUUUGUGUGUGUAAUUGUCGGAUAGUCUAUCUUUCUUCUUAGAAAUAUCAAUGAUGCUCUAAUCAGUUGACAGGAAGAGCAAUAACAGGUCUGUGAUGCCCUUAGAUGUUCUGGGCCGCACGCGCGCUACAAUGCACGGUGCAACGCGCAAUCCUUCUCCCUAAUGGAGUGGGCAACCGGUUGAAACCCGGGCCUACUUGGGAUUGGGGCUUGCAAAUAUUUCCCAUGAACGAGGAAUUCCCAGUAAGCGUUGGCUCAUUUAAGUCGCGUUGACUAAGUCCCUGCCCUUUGUACACACCGCCCGUCGCUACUACCGAUUGAAUGGUUCAGUGAGAGCAUUGGACUGUCGUUCUAAAAUUGUGAACUGACGGGAAGAUGUUCAAACUUGAUC